rnacentral:misc_RNA from 1 species
AACUUACGCUAUAAAAGAUACAGUUUCUGUACUAUAUUGGUAUGAGAACUUACUCCAGAUAAUGGAUGAAUAAUUCAGAUGAGACCUUCGGGUCUCUUA